GUGGGGAAUUUUGGACAAUGGGCGCAAGCCUGAUCCAGCAAUGCCGCGUGCAGGAAGAAGGCCUUCGGGUUGUAAACUGCUUUUGUACGGAACGAAACGGUCCGGGUUAAUACCCUGGGCUAAUGACGGUACCGUAAGAAUAAGCACCGGCUAACUACGUGCCAGCAGCCGCGGUAAUACGUAGGGUGCAAGCGUUAAUCGGAAUUACUGGGCGUAAAGCGUGCGCAGGCGGUUUUGUAAGACAGGCGUGAAAUCCCCGGGCUCAACCUGGGAAUUGCGCUUGUGACUGCAAGGCUGGAGUGCGGCAGAGGGGGAUGGAAUUCCGCGUGUAGCAGUGAAAUGCGUAGAUAUGCGGAGGAACACCGAUGGCGAAGGAAAUCCCCUGGGCCUGCACUGACGCUCAUGCACGAAAGCGUGGGGAGCAAACAGGAUUAGAAACCCGUGUAGUCC
rnacentral:rRNA from 1 species